UAUUUAAGGAGGCAAAACCGGUUCAAACUGGUGCACUUUCAAGAAAGAACAGAAAAGGAUGCGGAGCUGCUGCUGACUCUCCACUUCGCUUUUUUUGUCCUACGUUGGAGGUGAAUGUCCUUUACUAGGAAACUGGUGUGUUCAAACUUUGGUCUACUGGAAUCAGUUUGUAAGUGGCAUGAAGUCAUGGACCAUGUCUGAUAUUACACAUCACUGCAUCCUUCCAGGAGCUCAGUGCCUGACCUAUAGUAUGAGUUCAUCUGAAGGGAAAUGCUUCACUGAAUGGUUAUAACUCAACUCCAAACCUCACUGCCAUUCCCACAGUGACUCAUCGAGAGCAGGAGGAUGCUGGGAAAAUCUUUUAGGCCAUUUGGAGGAGUGCUUGAAUAAGUGGUUUAACACCUGUUCACAGACUACUCACCACCCUCUGACCCUCAUCCACCAAGCCCUUUGGUAUUUCAUGGAGGACUUUAUUGGAGCUGGCCAGUGUUGGGUGCCUUGCGAAUUCUAUGCAUAAUUUAGCAAAUUUACCAAUGUUUGCCACCAUGUGUUCUAGCCCUGACUCUGGGACUUCAAGACUCCAGCCAUAUUUUAGAGCCUUUGACUUUCAUUUGUCCAUCCAGUUCUGUAAAUAUUGACAAAAUGAGGCUCUUAAAUACAGUAAAAUGUGCUCAGAUGAAUAACAAAUCUAUAGUGAAGAUGCCUAAAUCUCUCAGUAAACCUCAAAUCCUGGGAAGGUUUCCUAAAGUAGUUUCUUUGUGUCCCUUUCCCACCUCCUAGGGCAGGGCAGAGAACCUGGAUGAGAGACAUGGAUAAAGGGAUAUUUUAUGGAAUCUUUUAAACACUGACAUUUCAUGAAUUUUCUUUUGAGUGAGGAAUGGAGCAAGGUUUUGCACUUGCCUUAUUAAUCCCAAAGAUAGGCCUACAAAGCAGCGUCCUUGGGGACACAGUUUCCCUGGGCUUGGGGUGUCAAGUCAGCACAGAGGUGACAAAAUUAACUUUGGAAGUCCCUUAAUGCACCCAUACAGGACAGUGUUACUAGUUUUUGUGCCUAAAAUCCUGCAAGUAAUUUUUGUGUACCUUCAAGUAUGAGAACCACUGUGAGGAGGAACAGAGUAGGUGUGCAGCUCUGAGGAAUUCAAACCAACCUGUCUUUAAAAUCACCAUCAAAACCUUAGUAUGAGUGGGGGAUGAGCUGGCAUUCCCAGAAUGACCCUGACAGCCUACAGGCUUUAGUCGACCCUGUUUUUAUAUUGAGCCUUUCUAACCGUAAUGCAGUGUUACAGAUUGAUUAUGAUUGCUAAGCUUAAACUAGGAAGCGGAAUCACAUCUCGGAGGACAGGGGCAGGGGAGAGUGGGUGGGUUUAGUCUCCCAAACUUGCAAGCCUGCGCUAAAUUAGACCUUGAUGCAGCUUCACUGUACUCAAGAAAGCAAUGGAAUUCUUGGGCAAACCAGGGCAGUUUGUGGAUGUAAAAUGACUUUAAAAAUUAAACGCUGUAGUGAAUUCAAAUGUUCAAACUCAGAGUUCCUCAGAGUGGAGGAGAAAUCCCUAUAAUAGAGGCCUUUCUCUCUCCUUUCACUUCUCCCCUCUCAUCUUAUUGUAUCUUCAAUUAUCUGGGUAAUUUGGUCCUGAGGGCAUAAAUUCCUUUAUAACUCAAAUCCAUUAUGCAGAGAAGAGUCAUCAAGAAAUUACUCAGAUUGCAUCCCUGAUGGUGUGAAGGUUUUGGAGCAGAUCCGGCAUCCCAUUAGCAAAGCACUGCUCUCGAAUUUAGAUUUGAGCCUGGAGGCUGGACAUCCAUGCUCUUCCCUUCACCCCUCUUUGUUUCAGCAAGAGCCGCCUGUAGGGAAGUCCUGUGCUGGUGCUGGCUGGCGGCAGCUUCUCUCCAUCCGAGGCCACGGCUGCUGCCAGCUUCCCUUGGCUGGCGUAGACACCUUCUCUCCAGGCCAGGGAGAGCCGCUGCCAGGCGGGCAGACGUAUGCUUCCAUCAUGUCUCACCAUCUCCUGGAGCCAGGCACCCAGGCCUUUUGAUUCCUGUAAAAUUCAGGUCCUUCUGGUAGAGAGCUGGUUUUCAUGUCUGUGGCCUGAUGGGGAUUGUCCUUGUGCAGCUGCUGGUGGUCUGUGAGCAGCCUGCCUUUGAGCUGACAGGCCCUCAACCAAAAUGCAAACACAUUCAAGUUCAGUUUUAGAAGAGGACAUUCUAAGUCUGGCAACCUCUCUCAUCUGGCUUCAUUCUUUCUAGAUUUCUGGUUUACUAGGGAUAUUCAGUUUGGUUUUAUUAUUUGUGUAUACAGGUUUUCCCUCUCCCCCCACCACCCCCGCUCACCCCCGCAAAGUGACGACUUUGAGGAAGGCAGCAUGUAGAAGGAUCUUAGAUUAUGGUUCAGGCAGACCUGUGUCUAUUGCUCUUUGUCUUCCCUCACAAUUAAGUAAAUACUGUGAGAAGAGAGAAUUUUGUGUAUUUCAUUCUCUGCUGUGUCCCCAGUGUCUGGCAUUGUGCCAGGCACAUAGUAGGUGAUCCAUGAGGAAUUAAAGUGCAUGAGGAAAAGAAUGGGCUAGCAUGCUGUGCUCUAAUUAGCAGCUUUGUGAUUUUAGGAGGAAUUCUUUUAAAUGUCAUUUUUCAUUUUGUCACCUGCAAAAUGGUCAUGAAAUGUGUAAGACCAUAGAGAAAGUACCUGGCUAGUGCUGUGUUCAACAAAUGGUAGGGUCUCCCUCUCCCGUUUGUCAACCGUAGAGUGAACUCUUCAAGGACAAACACCUAGUUUGAUUCUCCAUUUCCCAGGCCUAGCACUGCUCCUGCACAGAGUGGGUGUUCCAUAGCGACUUGUUGAAUGAAUAUGUCCUCCAUGGGAAGCGGGUGCUUGGGGAUCAGUGAAGUUGACUACUGAGGACAGGCCUAGAAAAGUUACCUUUCUAUUGUGUCUCAUUCUGGUAUCUGUUUCUAUGUGAGGGAAAUGAAUAGAGAAUUCUCUCCAGAUCAUCUGGAUCUAUGGAUUAUGUGAUGAUUUGAAAAGGAAUUUUUUUACUGAAAUUUCUUCUUUUCAGUCAAAAAAGACCACUCAUAGGAUAAAACGCCAGGCCUUGCAGUGAUUUGCUGACCACACUCUACAUAUUUUGAAGUUUUCAGGAUCAUGAAUGCUGGAAGAUUGACAGCUCUGGGAAGAGCGCCAUCUCUCAAGUGCACAUUUUAGGAGAUGCAGUAGUUGAAAUUGCACCUCUCCAGUACCUUAUGAGGCCUCUGCUGACAUGACGUGACGUGCCCAGCACUCAGCACAGGACCCUCCUUCAGCUUCUCUCUGACUCUUCGGCAAUGUGCAUGCUAAGCUCCAUGGGGAAAGGCUCUGACUUCCGCAGGAAAUCCACCCCAUAGGGUCAGAGAGAUUCUAGGAAGAUGGACUUAGAUGAUCAUCAGUUCUGAGGCACCCGGGCUGACAACGACAGCGUCUCCUACCUGGAGCUACUGGUGUGUGCAUGUGCAAAGACAAAAGGGAUGGACACUUUUCUGAAAGUUUGAUAUGUAUUAACCCACGUAAUCUUCACAAUUCCUGAUAAACACAGCCAUGUAAGAAUGCCUGGUCAGCUGAUCACAGAACUGGAUUCCAAUAUAUUUCCAUUGUCGACAUUAAACCCAGUUAAAGUUCUUAUUGAUGAAUUCCAAAAAUACUUUUUUAUUCAUAUUGGUUAUAUGUGGAAUUUUGAGACUCAAGCUUUUUUUUCAUUCCACAAAGCAUAUAUGAUAGGAUUGUUUCACAAUUAUUCUUAUAGCAAAUUGGGACCUACAUGCUGAUGAGAGAAUUAAAGUAAUUUUAUGUGAUACUUCCAGAAUAUAAUACAUAUUGCAUAAUUUUCCUAUUGAGAAGAAUGAUGUUUUCCAGAUGCAAUCAUAUAUAAACCUAAUAAUGAAAUGUCCACUAGGGUAUAAUUUAAAUUAAUCUAUUCUGCUUUUUAAAAAAUGCAUUCCUUCCGUACUGAGAUAUUUUAUUUCUUGUUUAGAAAACUAUAUAAUUUGAACUUUUAACUAUCAUGCUUAAUUUCUCAAAGGAAGGCAGUUAGUCUUUGGAACUUCUAUUAUUUGUUGUAGUAAAUCUCCUGUUCAUUUAAAACUUUUCCUCAAUUCUUCCUUUUCUUUGGGUUUGGAUGUCCUAUAGUCCAGGUAGGGAUAUAUAUUCAUAGAUCUGUAUUCUAAUCUUGUACCUUCUACUAUAUUGCUUAGAGCAAUUGCUUAUAAACUUAAUGUCAUUAAACUUUUUAAUGUCACAUCACUAUCAAUAAAAUAUUUUUGAGUGUGCA